rnacentral:rRNA from 1 species
GAAAAGCUCAAAUUUAAAAUCUGGCGGUCUCAGGCCGUCCGAGUUGUAAUCUAGAGAAGUGUUAUCCGCGCUGGACCGUGUACAAGUCUCCUGGAAUGGAGCGUCAUAGAGGGUGAGAAUCCCGUCUUUGACACGGACUGCCAGGGCUUUGUGAUGCGCUCUCAAAGAGUCGAGUUGUUUGGGAAUGCAGCUCAAAAUGGGUGGUAAAUUCCAUCUAAAGCUAAAUAUUGGCGAGAGACCGAUAGCGAACAAGUACCGUGAGGGAAAGAUGAAAAGAACUUUGGAAAGAGAGUUAAACAGUACGUGAAAUUGCUGAAAGGGAAACGCUUGAAGUCAGUCGCGUUGGCCGGGGAUCAACCUUGCUUUUGCUGGGUGUA